ACGCUCGACACCUACGGGGGCAGCAGUGGGGGAUAUUGCACAAUGGGGGAAACCCUGAUGCAGCAACGCCGCGUGAAGGAAGAAGGUCUUCGGAUUGUAAACUUCUGUCCUCAGGGAAGAUAAUGACGGUACCUGAGGAGGAAGCUCCGGCUAACUACGUGCCAGCAGCCGCGGUAAUCUGAGGCGGGCUGGCAAGGC
rnacentral:rRNA from 1 species